CGACCCUUACGCCCUAGUUGCGUAGCGUUGGGACCUUACCGCCCUCGGCGGUAACUCCCUAAAGUCAGUUGGCAGAGUCACGGCGUGCUCUAAGCGUAGUAAUUAUCUUCUCGCUUCUGAAGACGUCGCGGCAAUCGCCACAAACCCCUAUAUCUUUUAGUGG
rnacentral:misc_RNA from 1 species